AGAGUUUGAUCCUGGCUCAGAUUGAACGCUGGCGGCAUGCUUUACACAUGCAAGUCGAACGGCAGCACGGGGGGGUAACCCUCUGGUGGCGAGUGGCGAACGGGUGAGUAAUGCAUCGGAACGCGUCCUGUAAUGGGGGAUAACCUGGCGAAAGUCAGGCUAAUACCGCAUACGUCCUGAGGGAGAAAGCGGGGGAUUGGCAACGACCUCGUGUUAUAGGAGCGGCCGAUGUCGGAUUAGCUAGUUGGUGGGGUAAAGGCCUACCAAGGCGACGAUCCGUAGCGGGUCUGAGAGGACGGCCCGCCACACUGGGACUGAGACACGGCCCAGACUCCUACGGGAGGCAGCAGUGGGGAAUUUUGGACAAUGGGGGCAACCCUGAUCCAGCCAUGCCGCGUGAGUGAAGAAGGCCUUCGGGUUGUAAAGCUCUUUCGGCCGGGAAGAAAUCGCUCAAGCUAAUACCUUGGGUGGAUGACGGUACCGGAAGAAGAAGCACCGGC
rnacentral:rRNA from 1 species